rnacentral:rRNA from 1 species
ACAGCAGCAGCCGCGGUAAUACGUAGGUGGCAAGCGUUGUCCGGAAUUAUUGGGCGUAAAGGGCUCGCAGGCGGUUUCUUAAGUCUGAUGUGAAAGCCCCCGGCUCAACCGGGGAGGGUCAUUGAAAACUGGGAGACUUGAGUGCAGAAGAGGAGAGUGGAAUUCCACGUGUAGCGGUGAAAUGCGUAGAGAUGUGGAGGAACACCAGUGGCGAAGGCGACUCUCUGGUCUGUAACUGACGCUGAGGAGCGAAAGCGUGGGGAGCGAACAGGAUUAGAUACCCGAGUAGUCCCUGUCUCUUAUAC